rfam:Rattus norvegicus chromosome 6, whole genome shotgun sequence.
GGGUAGCUGUGAGGAUGGUAAACCGGUGACGUGCACUUCAUUUAUGCUGUAGGUCACCCGUUUUACUAUCCGCCAGCACCC